GACCGACCGCACCUGAUUGGGUCCUGUCCGGAAGCACCACCCCUUUUAGAGUUUGUGCUAGGCAGCCUUGGACUAAACAAGGUUUGUGGGAAUAAGGAAAAUAAAAAUGAGGGUUAGCUUAGUUGGCAAUCCACAACAAUGAAGCUUCAGAU